rnacentral:rRNA from 1 species
AUUGAACGCUGGCGGCAUGCCUUACACAUGCAAGUCGAACGGCAGCACGGGUGCUUGCACCUGGUGGCGAGUGGCGAACGGGUGAGUAAUACAUCGGAACGUACCUUAUCGUGGGGGAUAACGCAGCGAAAGCUGUGCUAAUACCGCAUACGCCCUGAGUGGGAAAGCGGGGGAUCGAAAGACCUCGCGCGAUUAGAGCGGCCGAUGCCUGAUUAGCUUGUUGGUGGGGUAAAAGCCCACCAAGGCGACGAUCAGUAGCUGGUCUGAGAGGACGAUCAGCCACACUGGGACUGAGACACGGCCCAGACUCCUACGGGAGGCAGCAGUGGGGAAUUUUGGACAAUGGGGGAAACCCUGAUCCAGCAAUGCCGCGUGAGUGAAGAAGGCCU